GGAGAUAGGGAAUUAAGUUAGUUCCCAAAUUUUUGUCAAUGCGGUAAGUCGCGGGGAGGAAUCAUGGUAAUCUGUUCCUACUCAAAUAUACUCCUCCUACUUCUAUUUCAUAGAUUAUUCUGCUAAUGUCAUACGUUAUAUGUUCAAGUCAUGCCUGUGCUUAUUGUUCGAAUUUGCUAUAGACUUGUGUUUAUGAUUUGACCUCCAAACUAGAAGCAAUUAUGUUUCUCAGAACCCAGUAUUUCUUGUAUUCAAGCCAUAUGUUGUGUUGCUCGUGAUCCAUGAAAAUCUAUAUCUCUCAGCAUGCUUGGUCCUAAGGAAAUAUGUUUCUAUAUGUCACCG
rnacentral:lncRNA from 1 species